CCUACGGGUGGCAGCAGUGGGGAAUUUUGCGCAAUGCUCGUAAGAGUGACGCAGCGACGCCGCGUGAAUGACGAAGGCCUUCGGGUCGUAAAGUUCUUUCAGCAGGGAGGAAAGUGCCGAUGAGUAACAGUGUAUGUAUUGACGGUACCUGUAUAAGCAGCACCGGCUAACUCCGUGCCAGCAGCCGCGGUAAUACGGAGGGGGCGAGCGUUGUUCGGAAUGACUGGGCGUAAAGCGCACGUAGGCGGUGUUGUAAGUCAUUAGUCAAAGACUAGAGCUCAACCUUAGUAAGGCUAGUGAUACUAGCAGACUAGAGUAUCAGAGAGGAUUGCAGAAUUCCUGGUGUAGCGGUGAAAUGCGUAGAUAUCAGGAGGAAUACCGGUAGCGAAGGCGGCCAUCUGGCUGGAAACUGACGCUGAGGUGCGAAAGCGUGGGUAGCAAACAGGAUUAGAUACCCUUGUAGUC
rnacentral:rRNA from 1 species